GAUGAACGCUGGCUACAGGCUUAACACAUGCAAGUCGUGGGGAAACGGCAUUAUGUGCUUGCACAUUCUGGACGUCGACCGGCGCACGGGUGAGUAUCGCGUAUCCAACCUGCCCCUUACUUGGGGAUACCCCGUUGAAAGACGGCCUAAUACCCGAUGUGUUUCAUUGACGGCAUCCGAUAUGAAACAAAGGUUUUUUCCGGUAAGGGAUGGGGAUGCGUCUGAUUAGCUUGUUGGCGGGGCAACGGCCCACCAAGGCGACGAUCAGUAGGGGUUCUGAGAGGAAGGUCCCCCACAUUGGAACUGACACACGGUCCAAACUCCUACGGGAGGCAGCAGUGAGGAAUAUUGGUCAAUGGACGCAAGUCUGAACCAGCCAAGUAGCGUGCAGGAUGACGGCCCUAUGGGUUGUAAACUGCUUUUAUGUGGGAAUAAAGUGGCGCACGUGUGCGCCAUUGCAUGUACCUCAUGAAUAAGGACCGGCUAAUUCCGUGCCAGCAGCCGCGGUAAUACGGAAGGUCCGGGCGUUAUCCGGAUUUAUUGGGUUUAAAGGGAGUGUAGGCGGUCUGUUAAGCGUGUUGUGAAAUUUAGGUGCUCAACAUUUAACUUGCAGCGCGAACUGUCAGACUUGAGUACACGCAGCGCAGGCGGAAUUCAUGGUGUAGCGGUGAAAUGCUUAGAUAUCAUGAGGAACUCCGAUCGCGAAGGCAGCCUGCGGGAGUGUUACUGACGCUUAAGCUCGAAGGUGCGGGUAUCGAACAGGAUUAGAUACCCUGGUAGUCCGCACAGUAAACGAUGGAUGCCCGCCGUUGGCGCCCUGCGCCUGCGGCCAAGCGAAAGCAUUAAGCAUCCCACCUGGGGAGUACGCCGGCAACGGUGAAACUCAAAGGAAUUGACGGGGGCACGCACAAGCGGAGGAACAUGUGGUUUAAUUCGAUGAUACGCGAGGAACCUUACCCGGGCUUGAAUUGCAGUCGCUGCCCACAGAGACGUGGG
rnacentral:rRNA from 1 species